UAGGGAAUCUUCCGCAAUGGACGAAAGUCUGACGGAGCAACGCCGCGUGAGUGAAGAAGGAUUUCGGUUCGUAAAACUCUGUUGUUAGGGAAGAAAAAAUGUAUAGUAACUAUAUACAAAAGAGACGGUACCUAACCAGAAAGCCACGGCUAACUACGUGCCAGCAGCCGCGGUAAUACGUAGGUGGCAAGCGUUGCCCGGAAUUAUUGGGCGUAAAGCGCGCGCAGGUGGUUUAGAAAGUCUGAUGUGAAAGCCCACGGCUCAACCGUGGAGGGUCAUUGGAAACUAAGAAACUUGAGUGCAGGAGAGAAAAGUGGAAUUCCUAGUGUAGCGGUGAAAUGCGUAGAGAUUAGGGGGAACACCGGUGGCGAAAGCGGCUUUUUGGCCUGCAACUGACACUGAGGCGCGAAAGCGUGGGGAGCAAACAGG
rnacentral:rRNA from 1 species